GACAAACCUAGCGAAUGACUCAGUCCCUGUGGAGGAAAUGGUGGUGCCUGCUACUGGAACCCAACUAGAAUUACAAGCUGGGUCAAGAUGGCCACCAGAGGAGGGGCCUCAUGGUCGGAUGCUUCCUUCAAGGGAUAGAGUCAGUCUCAAAUGAGAUUUCCACGCAGCUUAUAGACACCAUCUAGGAAUCAUCUGCAGACAACAACUGUUCCAAUUAGCUGCAAACCUUGGACUUAAUAAAAGUUGGUAUGAACUAUUUCA
rnacentral:lncRNA from 1 species